AUUGAACGCUGGCGGCAUGCCUUACACAUGCAAGUCGAACGGCAGCACGGGAGCAAUCCUGGUGGCGAGUGGCGAACGGGUGAGUAAUAUAUCGGAACGUGCCCAGUCGUGGGGAUAACGUAGCGAAAGCUACGCUAAUACCGCAUACGAUCUAUGGAUGAAAGCGGGGGAUCGCAAGACCUCGCGCGAUUGGAGCGGCCGAUAUCAGAUUAGGUAGUUGGUGAGGUAAAGGCUCACCAAGCCGACGAUCUGUAGCUGGUCUGAGAGGACGACCAGCCACACUGGGACUGAGACACGGCCCAGACUCCUACGGGAGCAG
rnacentral:rRNA from 1 species